rnacentral:rRNA from 1 species
GGGCCCGCACAAGCGGUGGAGCAUGUGGUUCAAUUCGACGCAACGCGAAGAACCUUACCCAGGCUUGAACAGCGAGUGACCAUUCCCGAAAGGGAACUUCCGCAAGGACACUCGUAGAGGUGCUGCAUGGCUGUCGUCAGCUCGUGUCGUGAGAUGUUGGGUUAAGUCCCGCAACGAGCGCAACCCUUGUCUGCUGUUGCCAUCAGGUAAUGCUGGGCACUCUGCAGAGACUGCCGGUGAUAAACCGGAGGAAGGUGGGGAUGACGUCAAGUCAGCAUGGCCUUUAUGUCUGGGGCUACACACGUGCUACAAUGGCCGGUACAAACCGUCGCAAAACCGUAAGGUCGAGCUAAUCGGAGAAAGCCGGUCUCAGUUCGGAUAGCAGGCUGCAACUCGCCUGCUUGAAGUUGGAAUCGCUAGUAAUCGCGGAUCAGCACGCCGCGGUGAAUACGUUCCCGGGCCUU